rnacentral:other from 1 species
CGCGGACUGCGGCGUUGGUGACUGCCUUUCACAGUUUUCUGAUCUGACUCUCUUUUCGACAUGGGGAGGAUGUCGUGGUUGGGACGUAAACCGGCCUUCGCAGCCGGAAACGAAACGCCACUGUUCCGCCCCUUCUGGCACGACCAGGUCGAAACACUGGGGCAAGACGGCACUGUGGUCCACCC